rnacentral:sRNA from 1 species
CUUAGCGUCGGCGGCUUUUGGCAUGGCGACUUUUUCUGGCCCGGCUGGGCCAAUCCUGUCGCUUAAUCCGCAGGAAGAUGUCGAGUUUCAAAAGGAGGUGGCGCAGGUUCGCAAGCGCAUAACCCAGCGAAAAAAACAAGAACAACUCACUCCUGGAGUAGUCUAUGUGCGCCACCUACCUAACCUACUUGACGAAACCCAGAUCUUUUCAUAUUUCUCCCAGUUUGGCACUGUGACACGGUUCAGGCUGUCCAGAAGUAAAAGGACUGGAAAUAGCAAAGGCUAUGCAUUUGUGGAGUUUGAGUCUAAGGAUGUUGCCAAAAUAGUUGCUGAAACAAUGAACAACUACCUGUUUGGUGAAAGACUCUUGGAGUGUCAUUUUAUGCCACCUGAAAAAGUACAUAAAGAACUCUUUAAAGACUGGAAUAUUCCAUUUAAGCAGCCAUCAUAUCCAUCAGUGAAACGGUAUAAUCGGAAUCGGACACUAACACAAAAGCUACGGAUGGAGGAGCGAUUUAAAAAGAAAGAAAGAUUACUCAGGAAGAAAUUAGCUAAAAAAGGAAUUGAUUAUGAUUUUCCUUCUUUGGUAAAUAUUCGUGAAAUCUUUUUUGUGGUUUGUUGUGGGGAGGGGAGGGGGCAGCUUUGUACCUUGUAAAGUACCUAGCCUAGCGCUUAUCACAAUCUUGGCUCACUGCAACUUCCACAUCCUGGGUUCAAGCGAUUCUCCUGCCUCUAGCCUCCCAAGUAGUUGGGAUUACAGGCACACACCACCACGUCUGGCUAAUUUUUGUAUUUUUGGUAGAGACGGGCUUUCUCCACGUUGGCCAGGCUGGUCUCGAACUCCUGACCUCAGGUGAUCCACCCACCUCAGUGUCCCAAAGUGUUGGGAUAAUAGGCAUGAGCCACGUGCCCAGCCAGUUUUUUGACUAAACUUUUUUUUCUUUUUUGAGAUGGAGUUUCGCCCUUGUUGCCCAGGCUGGAGUGCGACGGUGUGAUCUUGGCUCACCGCAACCUCCGCCUCCGGGGUUCAAGCGAUUCUUCUGCCUCAGCCUCCCGAGUAGCUGGCAUUACAGGCAUGCACCACCACCCCGGCUAA